GGGGCUUUUCUAAAAAAAUGGAUAAGGCAUGAGUCUAUGGAACUCAAGAUUCCAGGUUUGAUCCCUGGCAGGAUCA